UUACACAAAUAUGAAGGCGGGCUGGAACCUCUCGGGGUUACAGCCUUGCUGAAUUAUUCACCCUUGUCUUUUGCGUACUUCUUGUUUCCUUGGUGGGUUCGCCCACCACUAGGACAAACAUAAACCUUUUGUAAUUGCAAUCAGCGUCAGUAACAAAUUAAUAAUUACAACUUUCAACAACGGAUCUCUUGGUUCUGGCAUCGAUGAAGAACGCAGCGAAAUGCGAUAAGUAGUGUGAAUUGCAGAAUUCAGUGAAUCAUCGAAUCUUUGAACGCACAUUGCGCCCUUUGGUAUUCCAAAGGGCAUGCCUGUUCGAGCGUCAUUUGUACCCUCAAGCUUUGCUUGGUGUUGGGCGUCUUGUCUCUAGCUUUGCUGGAGACUCGCCUUAAAGUAAUUGGCAGCCGGCCUACUGGUUUCGGAGCGCAGCACAAGUCGCACUCUCUAUCAGCAAAGGUCUAGCAUCCAUUAAGCCUUUUUUUCAACUUUUGACCUCGGAUCAGGUAGGGAUACCCGCUGAACUUAAGCAUA
rnacentral:rRNA from 2 species